ensembl:rRNA 5S_rRNA 5S ribosomal RNA
GCUUGCAGCCACACCACCUUGGGCUGUGAUCUGAUCAGAUCUCAGAAAAUAAGUAGGGCUGGGCUUAGUCAGAACAUGAAUAAGUGACUUCAAAGGAAUACCAGAUGCAACAGGAA